rnacentral:rRNA from 1 species
ACUCAAAUGAAUAGACGGGGGCCCGCACAAGCGGAGGAACAUGUGGUUUAAUUCGAUGAUACGCGAGGAACCUUACCCGGGCUCGAACGCAGAUGGAAUGUUGGGGAAACUCAACAGCCGCAAGGCCGUCUGCGAGGUGCUGCAUGGUUGUCGUCAGCUCGUGCCGUGAGGUGUCGGCUUAAGUGCCAUAACGAGCGCAACCCCUAUUGUUAGUUGCCAGCGGAUGAUGCCGGGGACUCUAGCAAAACUGCCUGCGUAAGCUGUGAGGAAGGUGGGGAUGACGUCAAAUCAGCACGGCCCUUACGUCCGGGGCGACACACGUGUUACAAUGGGAGGUACAGAAGGUUGCUACCACGCGAGUGGAUGCCAAUCCUUAAAGCCUCUCUCAGUUCGGAUCGAAGUCUGCAACUCGACUUCGUGAAGCUGGAUUCGCUAGUAAUCGCGCAUCAGCCACGGCGCGGUGAAUACGUUCCCGGGCCUUGUACACACCGCCCGU